rnacentral:sRNA from 1 species
UGGCUUGACAGUCUCUCUUUAUCCCCAGAACAGGUAUAACACAGGCAGCAGCAGUGUCAGUUUCCCCUGCUCACUGCCCUGCUAAUUAGAGCUGUCUGAAACUAUUUCGCACCACCUUCAGAAAAAUCACACUUCCCAGGUUCGCAGGAAAGCGAAAGCUGUCUCCUUCUUGCCUUGAGCUUUU